GACGUAGGAGGCGAGCGUUGUCCGGAUUCAUUGGGCGUAAAGAGCACGCAGGCGGUUUGGCAAGGCGGAUGUGAAAGCCCGGAGCUCAACUCCGGACCUGCAUCCGAAACUGCCCGACUAGAGGUAGGUAGGGGAGAUCGGAAUUCCUGGUGUAGCGGUGAAAUGCGCAGAUAUCAGGAGGAACACCGGUGGCGAAGGCGGAUCUCUGGGCCUUACCUGACGCUCAGGUGCGAAAGCUAGGGGAGCGAACAGG
rnacentral:rRNA from 1 species